AUUGAUGCAGUCUACGCCGAGAAAACUCAAAAGUCCAAAAAAUAUCACAAAAAACACAAAUUUUAGGAGUUUUGAGUCUUUUCUCAGUACACUACAUCAAUCUGGACAAUUCCAGUGGCUAUCGAAACCUUAUAUGUUCUGGCACCAAACGAUGAGGCCACUUUUUUCAAAAAUAAUUCGAAUACAAAGUUAUCAUCAAAAAUAUACUUUGACGGUAAGUC